rnacentral:rRNA from 1 species
AGGAAUAUUGGUCAAUGGGCGAGAGCCUGAACCAGCCAAGUAGCGUGAAGGAUGACUGCCCUAUGGGUUGUAAACUUCUUUUAUAAAGGAAUAAAGUCGGGUAUGGAUACCCGUUUGCAUGUACUUUAUGAAUAAGGAUCGGCUAACUCCGUGCCAGCAGCCGCGGUAAUACGGAGGAUCCGAGCGUUAUCCGGAUUUAUUGGGUUUAAAGGGAGCGCAGACGGGGGAUUAAGUCAGUUGUGAAAGUUUGCGGCUCAACCGUAAAAUUGCAGUUGAUACUGGUUCCCUUGAGUGCAGUUGAGGCAGGCGGAAUUCGUGGUGUAGCGGUGAAAUGCAUAGAUAUCACGAAGAACCCCGAUUGCGAAGGCAGCCUGCUAAGCUGUAACUGACGUUGAGGCUCGAAAGUGUGGGUAUCAAACAGGAUUAGAUACCCUGGUAGUCCACACGGUAAACGAUGGAUACUCGCUGUUGGCGAUAUACUGUCAGCGGCCAAGCGAAAGCAUUAAGUAUCCCGCCUGGGGAGUACGGCCGCAAGGUUAAAACUCAAAUGAAUUGACGGGGGCCCGCACAAGCGGUGGAGCAUGUGGUUUAAUUCGAUGAUACGCGAGGAACCUUACCCGGGCUUAAAUUGCAGACGAAUUACCUGGAAACAGGUAAGCCGCAAGGCGUCUGUGAAGGUGCUGCAUGGUUGUCGUCAGCUCGUGCCGUGAGGUGUCGGCUUAAGUGCCAUAACGAGCGCAACCCUCGUGGCCAGUUACUAGCAGGUAAUGCUGAGGACUCUGGCCAGACUGCCAUCGUAAGAUGCGAGGAAGGUGGGGAUGACGUCAAAUCAGCACGGCCCUUACGUCCGGGGCUACACACGUGUUACAAUGGGAGGUACAGAAGGCAGCUACCCGGCGACGGGAUGCCAAUCUCCAAAGCCUCUCUCAGUUCGGACUGGAGUCUGCAACCCGACUCCACGAAGCUGGAUUCGCUAGUAAUCGCGCGUCAGCCACGGCGCGGUGAAUACGUUCCCG